UACGUAGGGGGCAAGCGUUAUCCGGAAUCAUUGGGCGUAAAGGGUGCGUAGGUGGUCAAUAAAGUCAGAGGUGAAAGGCUAGGGCUCAACCGUAGUAAGCCUUUGAAACUUAUUGACUUGAGUGCAGGAGAGGAGAGUGGAAUUCCUAGUGUAGCGGUGAAAUGCGUAGAUAUUAGGAGGAACACCAGUGGCGAAGGCGACUCUCUGGACUGUAACUGACGCUGAGGCACGAAAGCGUGGGUAGCGAACAGGAUUAGAUACCCUGGUAGUCCACGCCAUAAACGAUGAGUGCUAGGUGUUGGGGGUCAAACCUCAGUGCCGCAGUUAACGCAUUAAGCACUCCGCCUGGGGAGUACGGUCGCAAGACUAAA
rnacentral:rRNA from 1 species